rnacentral:rRNA from 1 species
CGGCGGGCCCCGCGCCCGCCGACGGCCCCCCUGAACGCUGUCUGAAGUUGCAGUCUGAGACCUAUAACGAAAUUAGUUAAAACUUUCAACAACGGAUCUCUUGGUUCCGGCAUCGAUGAAGAACGCAGCGAAAUGCGAUAACUAAUGUGAAUUGCAGAAUUCAGUGAAUCAUCGAGUCUUUGAACGCACAUUGCGCCCUCUGGUAUUCCGGAGGGCAUGCCUGUCCGAGCGUCAUUGCUGCCCUCAAGCCCGGCUUGUGUGUUGGGCCCCGUCCCCCCCCGCCGGGGGGACGGGCCCGAAAGGCAGCGGCGGCACCGCGUCCGGUCCUCGAGCGUAUGGGGCUUCGUCACCCGCUCUAGUAGGCCCGGCCGGCGCCAGCCGACCCCCAACCUUUAAUUAUCUCAGGUUGACCUCGGAUCAGGUAGGGAUACCCGCUGAACUUAAGCAUAUCAAUAAGCGGG